rnacentral:lncRNA from 1 species
ACUGAAAGGAAAAAGUUCAGUUUAGGGUUUAAAACCCUAAUGCUGACUUAAGGGAAAAGUUCAGUUUAGGGUUUAAAACCCUAAUGCUGACUAAAGGAAAGAGUUCAGUUUAGAGUUUAAAACCCUAAUGCUGACUAAAGGAAAAGUUCAGUUUAGGGUUUAAAACCCUAAUGUUGACUGAAUGAAAAAGUUCAGUUUAGGGUUUAAAACCCAAAUGCUGACUGCAUGGAAAAAGUCAGUUUAGGGUUUAAAACCCAAAUGCUGACUAAAGGGAAAAAGUUCAGUUUAGGGUUUAAAACCCAAAUGCUGACUAAAGGGAAAAAGUUCAGUUUAGGGUUUAAAACCCUACUGCUGACUGUAUGGAAAAGCUCAGUUUAGGGUUUAAAACCAUAAUGCUGGCUGAAUGGAAAAAGUUCAGUUUAGGGUUUAAAACCCUAAUGCUGACUGAAAGGAAAAAGUUCAGUUUAGGGUUUAAAACCCUAAUGCUGACUAAAGGGAAAAAGUUCAGUUUAGUGUUUAAAACCCUAAUGCUGACUGGAAGGAAAAAGUUCAGUUUAGGGUUUAAAACCCUAAUGCUGACUGCAUGGAAAAGCUCAGUUUAGGGUUUAAAACCCUAAUGCUGACUGAAAGGAAAAAGUUCAGUUUAGGGUUUAAAACCCUAAUGCUGACUAAAGGGAAAAAGUUCAGUUUAGGAUUUAAAACCCUAAUGCUGACUGGAAGGAAAAAGUUCAGUUUAGGAUUUAAAACCCUAAUGUUGACUAAAGGAAAAAGUUCAGUUUAGGGUUUAAAACCCUAAUGCUGACUAAAGGAAAGAGUUCAGUUUAGGGUUUAAAACCCUAAUGCUGACUGAAAGGAAAAAGUUCAGUUUAGGGUUUAAAACCCAAAUGCUGACUAAAGGGAAAAAGUUUAGUUUAUGGUUUAAAACUCUAAUGCUGACUGGAAGGAAAAAGUUCAGUUUAGGGUUUAAAACCCUAAUGCUGACUGCAUGGAAAAGCUCAGUUUAGGGUUUAAAACCCUAAUGCUGGCUGAAUGGAAAAAGUUCAGUUUAGGGUUUAAAACCCUAAUGCUGACUGAAAGGAAAAAGUUCAGUUUAAGGUUUAAAACUCUAAUGCUGACUGAAGGAAAAAGUUCAGUUUAGGGUUUAAAACCCUAAUGCUGACUGGAAGGAAAAAGUUCAGUUUAGGGUUUAAAACCCUAAUGCUGACUGAAAGGAAAAGCUCAGUUUAGAGUUUAAAACCCUAAUGCUGGCUGAAUGGAAAAAGUUCAGUUUAGGGUUUAAAACCCUAAUGCUGACUGAAAGGAAAAAGUUCAGUUUAGGGUUUAAAACCCUACAGCUGACUGCAUGGAAAAGCUCAGUUUAGGGUUUAAAACCCUAAUGCUGGCUGAAUGGAAAAGGUUCAGUUUAGGGUUUAAAACCCUAAUGCUGACUGAAAGGAAAAAGUUCAGUUUAGGGUUUAAAACCCUAAUGCUGACUGCAUGGAAAAGCUCAGUUUAGGGUUUAAAACCCUAAUGCUGGCUGAAUGAAAAAGGUUCAGUUUAGGGUUUAAAACCCUAAUGCUGACUGAAUGGAAAAGUUCAGUUUAGGGUUUAAAACCCUAAUGCUGACUAAAGGAAAGAGUUCAGUUUAGAGUUUAAAACCCUAAUGCUGACUAAAGGAAAAGUUCAGUUUAGGGUUUAAAACCCUAAUGCUGACUGCAUGAAAAAGUUCAGUUUAGGGUUUAAAACCCUAAUGCUGACUGCAUGGAAAAAAGUUCAGUUUAGGGUUUAAAACCUUAAUGCUGACUAAAGGGAAAAAGUUCAGUUUAGGGUUUAAAACCCUAAUGCUGACUGGAAGGAAAAAGUUCAGUUUAGGAUUUAAAACCCUAAUGCUGACUGCAUGGAAAAGCUUAGUUUAGGGUUUAAAACCCUAAUGCUGGCUGAAUGGAAAAAGUCAGUUGAGGGUUUAAAACCCAAAUGCUGACUAAAGGGAAAAAGUUCAGUUUAGGGUUUAAAACCCUAAUGCUGAUUAAAAGAAAAAGUUCAGUUCAGGGUUUAAAACCCUAAUGCUGAUUAAAGGAAAGAAUUCAGUUUAGGGUUUAAAACCCUAAUGCUGACUGAAAGGGAAAAGUCCAGUUUAGAGUUUAAAACCCUAAUGCUGACUAAAGGAAAGAGUUCAGUUUAGGGUUUAAAACCCUAAUGCUGACUAAAGGAAAAAGUUCAGUUUAGGGUUUAAAACCCUAAUGCAGACUAAAGGAAAAAGUUCAGUUUAGGGUUUAAAACCCUAAUGCUGACUAAAGGAAAGAGUUCAGUUUAGAGUUUAAAACCUUAAUGUUGACUAAAGGAAAAGUUCAGUUUAGGGUUUAAAACCCUAAUGCUGACUGAAUGAAAAAGUUCAGUUUAGGGUUUAAAACCCUAAUGCUGACUGCAUGAAAAAGCUCUGUUUAGGGUUUAAAACCCUAAUGCUGGCUGAAUGGAAAAAUUCAGUUUAGGGUUUAAAACCCAAAUGCUGACUAAAGGGAAAAAGUUCAGUUUAGGGUUUAAAACCCUAAUGCUGACUGGAAGGAAAAAGUUCAGUUUAGGGUUUAAAACCCUAAUGUUGACUGCAUGGAAAAGCUCAGUUUAGGGUUUAAAACCCUAAUGCUGGCUGAAUGGAAAAAGUUCAGUUUAGGGUUUAAAACCCUAAUGCUGACUGAAAGGAAAAAGUUCAGUUUAGGGUUUAAAACCCUAAUGCUGACUAAAGAGAAAAGUUCAGUUUAGGGUUUAAAACCCUAAUGCUGACUAAAGGAAAAAGUUCAGUUUAGGGUUUAAAACCCUUAUGCUGACUAAAGGAAAGAGUUCAGUUUAGGAUUUAAAACCUUAAUGCUGACUGAAAGGAAAAAGUUCAGUUUAGGGUUUAAAACCCUAAUGCUGACUAAAGGGAAAAGUUCAGUUUAGGGUUUAAAACCCUAAUGCUGACUAAAGGAAAGAGUUCAGUUUAGAGUUUAAAACCCUAAUGCUGAUAAAGGAAAGAGUUCAGUUUAGGGUUUAAAACCCUAAUGCUGACUAAAUGGAAAAGUUCAGUUUAGGGUUUAAAACCCUAAUGCUGACUGAAGGAAAGAGUUCAGUUUAGGGUUUAAAACCCUAAUGCUGACUAAAGGGAAAGUUCAGUUUAGGGUUUAAAACACUAAUGCUGACUGAAUGGAAAGAGUUCAGUUUAGGGUUUAAAACCCUAAUGCUGACCGAAUUGAAAAGUUCAGUUUAGGGUUUAAAACCCUAAUGCUGACUGAAGGAAAGAGUUCAGUUUAGGGUUUAAAACCCUAAUGCUGACUAAAGGGAAAGUUCAAUUUAGGGUUUAAAACCCUAAUACUGACUGGCUGGAAAGAGUUCAGUUUAGGGUUUAAAACUCUAAUGCUGACUGAAUGGAAAAAGUUCAGUUUAGGGUUUAAAACCCUAAUGCUGACUGAAUGGAAAAAGUUCAGUUUUGGGUUUAAAACCCUAAUGCUGACUGAAUGGAAAAAGUUCAGUUUAGGGUUUAAAACCCUUAUGCUGACUGAAUGGAAAAAGUUCAGUUUAGGGUUUAAAACCCUAAUGCUGACUAAAGGAAAGAGUUCAGUUUAGGGUUUAAAACCCUAAUGCUGACUGGCUGGAAAAAGUUCAGUUUAGGGUUUAAAACCCUAAUGCUGACUGAAUGGAAAAAGUUCAGUUUAGGGUUUAAAACCCUAAUACUGACUGAAGGAAAGAGUUCAGUUUAGAGUUUUAAGCCCUAAUGCUGACUAAAGGGAAAGUUCAGUUUAGGGUUUAAAACCCUAAUACUGACUGGCUGGAAAGAGUUCAGUUUAGGGUUUAAAACCCUAAUGCUAACUAAAGGGAAAGUUCAGUUUAGGGUUUAAAACCCUAAUGCUGACUGAAUGGAAAAAGUUCAGUUUAGGGUUUUAAAACCCUAAUGCUGACUAAAGGAAAGAGUUCAUUUUAGGGUUUAAAACCCUAAUGCUGACUGAAUGGAAAAAGUUCAGUUUAGGGUUUAAAACCCUAAUGCUGACUAAAGGGAAAAGUUCAGUUUAGGGUUUUAAAACCCUAAUGCUAACUAAAGGAAAGUGUUCAGUUUAGGGUUUAAAACCCUAAUGCUGACUGAAUGGAAAAGUUCAGUUUAGGGUUUAAAACCCUAAUACUGUCUGAAAGAAAAAGUUCAGUUUAGGGUUUAAAACCCUAAUGCUGACUAAAGGAAAAGUUCAGUUUAGGGUUUAAAACCCUAAUACUGACUGGCUGGAAAGAGUUUAGUUUAGGGUUUAAAACCCUAAUGCUGACUGAAUGGAAAAAGUUCCGUUUAGGGUUUAAAACCCUAAUACUGACUGAAGGAAAGAGUUCAGUUUAGAGUUUUAAGCCCUAAUGCUGACUAAAGGGAAAGUUCAGUUUAGGGUUUAAAACCCUAAUACUGACUGGCUGGAAAGAGUUCAGUUUAGGGUUUAAAACCCUAAUGCUGACUGAAUGGAAAAAAGUUCAGUUUAGGGUUUAAAACCCUAAUGCUGACUAAAGGAAAGAGUUCAGUUUAGGGUUUAAAACCCUAAUGCUGACUAAAGGGAAAAAGUUCAGUUUAGGGUUUUAAAACCCUAAUACUGACUAAAGGAAAGAGUUCAGUUUAGGGUUUAAAACCCUAAUGCUGACUGAAUGGAAAAAGUUCAGUUUAGGGUUUAAAACCCUAAUGCUGACUAAAGGAAAUAGUUCAGUUUAGGGUUUAAAACCCUAAUGCUGACUAAAGGAAAAGUUCAGUUUAGGGUUUAAAACCCUAAUACUGACUGGCUGGAAAGAGUUCAGUUUAGGGUUUAAAACCCUAAUGCUGACUGAAUGGAAAAAGUUCAGUUUAGGGUUUAAAACCCUAAUACUGACUGAAGGAAAGAGUUCAGUUUAGGGUUUAAAACCCUAAUGCUGACUGGCUGGAAAGAGUUCAGUUUAGGGUUUAAAACACUAAUGCUGACUAAAGGGAAAGUUCAGUUUAGGGUUUAAAACCCUAAUACUGACUGGCUGGAAAGAGUUCAGUUUAGGGUUUAAAACCCUAAUGCUGACUAAAGGGAAAGUUCAGUUUAGGGUUUAAAACCCUAAUACUGACUGGCUGGAAAGAUUUCAGUUUAGGGUUUAAAACCAUAAUGCUGACUGAAUGUAAAAAGUUCAGUUUAGGGUUUAAAACCCUAAUGCUGACUAAAGGAAAGAGUUCAGUUUAGGGUUUAAAACCCUAAUGCUGACUGAAUGGAAAAAGUUCAGUUUAGGGUUUAAAACCCUAAUACUGACUGAAAGAAAGAGUUCAGUUUAGGGUUUAAAACCCUAAUGCUGACUAAAGGGAAAAAGUUCAGUUUAGGGUUUUAAAACCCUAAUGCUGACUAAAGGAAAGAGUUCAGUUUAGGGUUUAAAACCCUAAUGCUGACUAAAGGGAAAAAGUUCAGUUUAGGGUUUUAAAACCCUAAUGCUGACUAAAGGAAAGAGUUCAGUUUAGGGUUUAAAACCCUAAUGCUGACUGAAUGGAAAAAGUUCAGUUUAGGGUUUAAAACCCUAAUACUGACUGAAAGAAAGAGUUCAAUUUAGAGUUUUAAGCCCUAAUGCUGACUAAAGGGAAAGUUCAGUUUAGGGUUUAAAACCCUAAUACUGACUGGCUGGAAAGAGUUCAGUUUAAGGUUUAAAAUCCUAAUGCUGACUAAAGGGAAAGUUCAGUUUAGGGUUUAAAACCCUAAUACUGACUGGCUGGAAAAAGUUUAGUUUAGGGUUUAAAACCCUAAUGCUGACUGAAUGGAAAAAGUUCAGUUUAGGGUUUAAAACCCUAAUACUGACUGAAGGAAAGAGUUCAGUUUAGGGUUUAAAACCCUAAUGCUGACUAAAGGGAAAGUUCAGUUUAGGGUUUAAAACCCUAAUACUGACUGGCUGGAAAGAGUUCAGUUUAGGGUUUAAAAUCCUAAUGUUGACUAAAGGAAAAGUUCAGUUUAGGGUUUAAAACCCUAAUACUGACUGGCUGGAAAGAGUUCAGUUUAGGGUUUAAAACCCUAAUGCUGACUAAAGGAAAAGUUCAGUUUAGGGUUUAAAACCCUAAUACUGACUGGCUGGAAAGAGUUUAGUUUAGGGUUUAAAACCCUAAUGCUGACUGAAUGGAAAAAGUUCAGUUUAGGGUUUAAAACCCUAAUACUGACUGAAGGAAAGAGUUCAGUUUAGGGUUUAAAACCCUAAUGCUGACUUAAGGGAAAGUUCAGUUUAGGGUUUAAAACCCUAAUACUGACUGGAUUGAAAGAGUUCAGUUUAGGGUUUAAAACCCUAAUGCUGACUGAAUGGAAAAAGUUCAGUUUAGGGUUUUAAAACCCUAAUGCUGACUAAAGGAAAGAGUUCAGUUUAGGGUUUAAAACCCUAAUGCUGACUGAAUGUAAAAAGUUCAGUUUAGGGUUUAAAACCCUAAUGCUGACUGAAUGGAAAAAGUUCAGUUUAGGGUUUAAAACCCUAAUACUGACUGAAUAAAAGAGUUC